GACGAACGCUGGCGGCGUGCUUAACACAUGCAAGUCGAACGCUGAAGCUUGGUGCUUGCGCUGGGUGGAUGAGUGGCGAACGGGUGAGUAAUACGUGAGUAACCUGCCCUUGACUCUGGGAUAAGCCUGGGAAACUGGGUCUAAUACUGGAUAUGACAUGCCACUGCAUGGUGGUGUGUGGAAAGGGUUUUACUGGUUUUGGAUGGGCUCACGGCCUAUCAGCUUGUUGGUGGGGUAAUGGCCUACCAAGGCGACGACGGGUAGCCGGCCUGAGAGGGUGACCGGCCACACUGGGACUGAGACACGGCCCAGACUCCUACGGGAGGCAGCAGUGGGGAAUAUUGCACAAUGGGCGGAAGCCUGAUGCAGCGACGCCGCGUGAGGGAUGACGGCCUUCGGGUUGUAAACCUCUUUCAGCACGGAAGAAGCGAGAGUGACGGUACGUGCAGAAGAAGCGCCGGCUAACUACGUG
rnacentral:rRNA from 1 species